CGAACCAGCGUUCAGUUGAGCGCCGUACACGUUCGGAGCAGGUCGCGUUUCGUAAAGUCUCUUGCUCUAGUGGUGUGGUGUGGUGUUGUGCUGCUCUACUCUACUCAGCUCUGCUGUGGGUGUGGUAGUCCGUGGUCGUGUCAGUGGAAGGAAGAGUGUCCCUGCACGCACACACACGCUAGCGUGGUGUACUGUAGUGGAAGGCGUGCGCUGGUGUUCUUUACAGUGUAAGAUUUGGUAUUUUUGAGCGAAACAAAAUGACAGUGUGAAAGAAACGAAAAGAAGUGAAGUGUGUGUGAGCAGAAGGAAGGAAAAGUGUUUGAAGGGAAAUCGAUUUUGCCCCAGUGGAGAAGUACCAACAGAAGGAAGCCAGUGAAGGAAAAGUCUAAGGAGUAACGCAUAAGAGACCUACACCACCAUUACCACCCCCUCCCCGGCGAAGGAAGGAUUCCCCCGGAACACUCCCUUCACACAAAGGAAGUUGAAGUUGUCACACAGGAGUUGAAAAAGAAAGUUUACGAAGAAAACAACAGCAUAAUCGAGAUUGCGCAACUUAGAAGCGCCCCCCGAAGCUACCCCGACCCGUUGAAAAAGCAUGCCUGCCGAGUCCCUGCUGCUCGUCUGAGGAUAGCUCUCUGGCAACACACAGAGCUAGCGCCGAAAGAGGCAGUGCAGGCACGCCCAUCGUCCGCGUGUCCUUCCCACCAACAAGACAACCAUCUCAAGAAACCCAUAUACACAUAUUGCGAUAGAACCGUCGAUAUUGCCCUUAACACUACUAGGCUCCACAAGUGAUUCUCUUACCAGUACUACGCUGCCAUUUUUUUACUGUAUCCUAUAGUCAAUCGGCAUAUCGGUUUCUAGUUCUCAAUCGUGCCUCACUUACCGCUAACGAGCUGUCGAAAGAGUAGGAUCUCCAACCGGAAGCGGAUACUGACCAAGAGGAGUAGG